rnacentral:rRNA from 1 species
AGAUUGAACGCUGGCGGCAUGCCUUACACAUGCAAGUCGAACGGUAGAGUAGCAAUACUCGAGAGUGGCGAACGGGUGAGUAAUAUAUCGGAACGUGCCCAGUCGUGGGGGAUAACGUAGAGAAAUUUACGCUAAUACCGCAUACGAUCUAAGGAUGAAAGCGGGGGAUUCGCAAGAACCUCGCGCGAUUGGAGCGGCUGGUAUCAGAUUAGGUUGUUGGUGAGGUAAAAGCUCACCAAGCCGACGAUCUGUAGCUGGUUUGAGAGAACGACCAGCCACACUGGGACUGAGACACGGCCCAGACUCCUACGGGAGGCAGCAGUGGGGAAUUUUGGACAAUGGGCGAAAGCCUGAUCCAGCAAUGCCGCGUGCAGGAAGAAGGGCCUUCGGUUGUAAACGUGCUUUUGUACGGUAACGAAAAGGCUCUUUCUUAAUAAAGAGGCCAUGACGUACGUAAGAAUAAGCACCGCAACUACGUGCCAGCAGCCGCGUAA